rnacentral:rRNA from 1 species
GACAUAGGUGGCAAACGUUAUCCGGAAUCACUGGGCUUAAAGGGCGCGUAGGCGGGUUCCCAAGUCGGUGGUGAAAUCUUUCGGCCCAACCGGAAAAGUGCCGCCGAUACUGGGAGUCUCGAGGGAGGUAGGGGUCGAUGGAACUUCCGGUGGAGCGGUGAAAUGCGUAGAUAUCGGAAGGAACGCCGGCGGCGAAAGCGAUCGACUGGACCUCUUCUGACGCUGAGGCGCGAAAGCCAGGGGAGCAAACGGG